UUGGAAUUCCUGGUGUAGCGGUGGAAUGCGCAGAUAUCAGGAGGAACACCGAUGGCGAAGGCAGAUCUCUGGGCCGUAACUGACGCUGAGGAGCGAAAGGGUGGGGAGCAAACAGGCUUAGAUACCCUGGUAGUCCACCCCGUAAACGUUGGGAACUAGUUGUGGGGUCCAUUCCACGGAUUCCGUGACGCAGCUAACGCAUUAAGUUCCCCGCCUGGGGAGUACGGCCGCAAGGCUAAAACUCAAAGGAAUUGACGGGGACCCGCACAAGCGGCGGAGCAUGCGGAUUAAUUCGAUGCAACGCGAAGAACCUUACCAAGGCUUGACAUAUACGAGAACGGGCCAGAAAUGGUCAACUCUUUGGACACUCGUAAACAGGUGGUGCAUGGUUGUCGUCAGCUCGUGUCGUGAGAUGUUGGGUUAAGUCCCGCAACGAGCGCAACCCUCGUUCUAUGUUGCCAGCACGUAAUGGUGGGAACUCAUGGGAUACUGCCGGGGUCAACUCGGAGGAAGGUGGGGAUGACGUCAAAUCAUCAUGCCCCUUAUGUCUUGGGCUUCACGCAUGCUACAAUGGCCGGUACAAAGGGCUGCAAUACCGUGAGGUGGAGCGAAUCCCAAAAAGCCGGUCCCAGUUCGGAUUGAGGUCUGCAACUCGACCUCAUGAAGUCGGAGUCGCUAGUAAUCGCAGAUCAGCAACGCUGCGGUGAAUACGUUCCCGGGUCUUGUACACACCGCCCGUCAAGUCAUGAAAGUCGGUAACACCUGAAGCCGGUGGCCCAACCCUUGUGGAGGGAGCUGU
rnacentral:rRNA from 1 species